CAAGGAAUUUUGCGCAAUGGGGGAAACCCUGACGCAGCAACGCCGCGUGGAGGACGAAGGCCUUCGGGUUGUAAACUCCUUUUCUCGGGGAAGAUGAUGACGGUACCUGAGGAAUAAGUCUCGGCUAACUACGUGCCAGCAGCCGCGGUAAUACGUAGGAGGCGAGCGUUGUCCGGAUUUACUGGGCGUAAAGAGCGCGUAGGCGGCAUAUUAAGUCUGAAGUGAAAUCUCCUGGCUCAACUGGGAGGGAGCUUUGGAUACUGAUAGGCUGGAGGGCAUCAGAGGAAAGCGGAACUCCCGGUGUAGUGGUGAAAUGCGUAGAUAUCGGGAAGAACACCAGUGGCGAAGGCGGCUUUCUGGGGUGUACCUGACGCUGAGGCGCGAAAGCGUGGGGAGCGAACCG
rnacentral:rRNA from 1 species